rnacentral:rRNA from 1 species
GAUGAACGCUGGCGGCGUGCCUAAUACAUGCAAGUCGAGCGAAUGGAUUAAGAGCUUGCUCUUAUGAAGUUAGCGGCGGACGGGUGAGUAACACGUGGGUAACCUGCCCAUAAGACUGGGAUAACUCCGGGAAACCGGGGCUAAUACCGGAUAACAUUUUGAACCGCAUGGUUCGAAAUUGAAAGGCGGCUUCGGCUGUCACUUAUGGAUGGACCCGCGUCGCAUUAGCUAGUUGGUGAGGUAACGGCUCACCAAGGCAACGAUGCGUAGCCGACCGGGUAGGGUGGUCGGCCACACUGGGACUGAGACACGGCCCAGACUCCUACGGGAGGCAGCAGUAGGGAAUCUUCCGCAAUGGACGAAAGUCUGUCGGAGCAACGCCGCGUGAGUGAUGAAGGCUUUCGGGUCGUAAAACUCUGUUGUUAGGGAAGAACAAGUGCUAGUUGAAUAAGCUGGCACCUUGACGGUACCUAACCAGAAAGCCACGGCUAACUACGUGCCAGCAGCCGCCGUAA